rnacentral:rRNA from 1 species
UACGGAGGGUGCGAGCGUUGUUCGGAAUUAUUGGGCGUAAAGCGCGUGUAGGCGGUCUGAUAAGUCUGAUGUGAAAGCCCCGGGCUCAACCUGGGAAGUGCAUUGGAAACUGUAUAACUUGAGGACAGGAGAGGAAAGUGGAAUUCCUAGUGUAGCGGUGAAAUGCGUAGAUAUUAGGAGGAACACCGGUGGCGAAGGCGGCUGCCUGGACCGAUAUUGACGCUGAGACGCGAAAGCGUGGGGAG